rnacentral:rRNA from 1 species
GACGAACGCUGGCGGCGUGCUUAACACAUGCAAGUCGAACGGAAAGGCCCUGCUUUUGUGGGGUGCUCGAGUGGCGAACGGGUGAGUAACAAGUGAGUAACCUGCCCUUGACUUUGGGAUAACUACAGGAAACUGGGGCUAAUACCGGAUAGGAGCUCCUGCUGCAUGGUGGGGGUUGGAAAGUUUCGGCGGUUGGGGAUGGACACGCGGCUUAUCAGCUUGUUGGUGGGGUAGUGGCUUACCAAGGCUUUGACGGGUAGCCGGCCUGAGAGGGUGACCGGCCACAUUGGGACUGAGGUACGGCCCAGACUCCUACGUGAGGCAGCAGUGGGGAAUAUUGCACAAUGGGCAGAAGCCUGAUGCAGCAACGCCGCGUGCGGGAUGACGGCCUUCGGGUUGUAAACCGCUUUCGCCUUUGACGAAGCGUGAGUGACGGUAAUGGGUAAAGAAGCACCGGCUAACUCCGUG